UUUCGCUUCGGCGGUACAUAUACUAAAAUUGGAACGAUGCAAUGAAGAUUAGCUUGGCCUCUGCGCAAGGAUGACUCGCAUGUGCAUGGGCAUAAAAGGGCUUAA